rnacentral:rRNA from 1 species
AAUGAACGCUGGCGGCGUGCCUAACACAUGCAAGUCGGAUGUGCCGCAAGGUGCAUGGCAGACGGGUGAGUAACGCGUAGGGAAUCUACCUUUUUGUGGGGAAUAACGCUCCGAAAGGAGUGGUAAUACCGCAUGAGACCGUGAGCUGGGAUGUUCACGGUGAAACCUGGGGACCGCAAGGCCUGGGGCAAAAAGAGGAUCCUGCGUCUGAUUAGCUAGUUGGCGGGGUAAUGGCCCACCAAGGCGACGAUCAGUAGCCGGCCUGAGAGGGUGAUCGGCCACACUGGAACUGAGACACGGUCCAGACUCCUACGGGAGGCAGCAGUGGGGAAUUUUGCGCAAUGGACGAAAGUCUGACGCAGCAACGCCGCGUGGGUGAUGAAGGUCUUCGGACUGUAAAACCCUGUCGUCAGGGACGAAGGUGGCAGUGUUAAUAGCGCUGUUACUUGACGGUACCUGGAGAGGAAGCCCCGGCUAACUCUGUG